GGUCCUGUAGCUCAGUAGGAUAGAGCACCAGAUUCCUAAUCUGGGGGUCACAAGUUCGAAUCUUGUCAGGAUCACGA
rnacentral:tRNA from 2 species